AGUGAACGCUGGCGGUAGGCCUAACACAUGCAAGUCGAACGGCAGCACAGGAGAGCUUGCUCUCUGGGUGGCGAGUGGCGGACGGGUGAGGAAUACAUCGGAAUCUACUCUGUCGUGGGGGAUAACGUAGGGAAACUUACGCUAAUACCGCAUACGACCUACGGGUGAAAGCAGGGGAUCUUCGGACCUUGCGCGAUUGAAUGAGCCGAUGUCGGAUUAGCUAGUUGGCGGGGUAAAGGCCCACCAAGGCGACGAUCCGUAGCUGGUCUGAGAGGAUGAUCAGCCACACUGGAACUGAGACACGGUCCUGACUCCUACGGGAGGCAGCAGUGGGGAAUAUUGGACAAUGGGCGCAAGCCUGAUCCAGCCAUACCGCGUGGGUGAAGAAGGCCUUCGGGUUGUAAAGCCCUUUUGUUGGGAAAGAAAUCCAGCCGGCUAAUACCUUGCAGUUUUGACGUUACCGACAGAAUAAGCACCGGCUAACUUCGUGCCAGCCGCCGCCGUAA
rnacentral:rRNA from 1 species